GAGAUUAUAUGGCUCAAAGCAGGGGGGAAGAACUAGCAUGAUCAAUUCAAGUUUUAAUAAGGAUAAUUCCUCCUUUAGCGUAUCAAAAGAAUAUAGUGGCUCUGCUGUUUCACUGCGUGGAAAUUCAAAUUCCAAAGACUUUCAUGUAGCUUAUCAUGGAGAAGGUGCUUCUGCUGGCAAACAGUCUCUCUGGUCUCCUAAGGCUGUUGUGGGACCAUCAUCAUGUGUGGAUAAAACAGAAAGUCAACAAGAUCUCUUGACUGG
rnacentral:misc_RNA from 1 species